rnacentral:rRNA from 1 species
CACGUAGGGCGCAAGCGUUGUCCGGAAUUACUGGGCGUAAAGCGUGCGCAGGCGGUUUUGUAAGUCUGUUGUGAAAUCCCCGGGCUCAACCUGGGAAUGGCAAUGGAGACUGCAAGGCUAGAGUUUGGCAGAGGGGGGUAGAAUUCCACGUGUAGCAGUGAAAUGCGUAGAUAUGUGGAGGAACACCGAUGGCGAAGGCAGCCCCCCUGGGUCAAAAACUGACGCUCAUGCACGAAAGCGUGGGGAGCAAACAGG